CAUUACGUGCGCAGACUCAGGAGAAAGGCUCCUACAAAUAACUUUACAAUACCCAAAUUAGUUCAAGCACCAGGGCGUUGUAACGCACCCAACCGGCAAGUUUGGUCAAUGCUCUGAGAAAUAUAGAGAUAUAUUGUAAAAAGUGAGAUGAAAAAAGACUUUCUACCGUUCAAAAGCAGAACUGUCUAAACUAGCAUAGAACAGCGGACGAGAAAUGUAAACUUAGUUUAAGGAGAUAAAGGUGAACUUUUUAAGUAUAAACUUUAAGGAUAAGUUUGAGUGCAAACUUGAGGAAAUCAUUUAUCUUGGACGCUAUCACGGAGAGGCAUUACUAUAUUGACGGAUAUUUUUCACGGGGUUUGUGUAACUUCUUGCAGGUUGUGGAAUUAAUACCGAAGAGAAAUGCGCGGCUAAUAGAUUGUGAAGAUUGGACACUUUUCAUGAUCGAGUAUCCCCUCGUCUGUUCGUCUGUAAAUGAAAAAGGUCUAAAAGAAUAACUGCCACGAUGGAACUCAGCGGCAGAAGAAGACCGUCGUUGAUGGCGCUCUUCAUUUUCAUGACGGUAAUAUUAUUGCAAGUUUCAACAUCGUUAACGCAAACAACUACUACUACAAUGACGACAGCGCCUAGCACAACUGCUUCAUCUACAGUGACAGAAACCACCACUUUGUCAUCUACAGUAACACCAACCUCCACUUUGUCAUCUACAGUGACACCAACCUCCACUGUGUCAUCUACAGUGACG